UGUGGUUUAAUUCGAAGCAACGCGAAGAACCUUACCAGGCCUUGACAUGCAGAGAACUUUCCAGAGAUGGAUUGGUGCCUUCGGGAACUCUGACACAGGUGCUGCAUGGCUGUCGUCAGCUCGUGUCGUGAGAUAUUGGGUUAAGUCCCGUAACGAGCGCAACCCUUGUCCUUAGUUACCAGCACGUUAUGGUGGGCACUCUAAGGAGACUGCCGGUGACAAACCGGAGGAAGGUGGGGAUGACGUCAAGUCAUCAUGGCCCUUACGGCCUGGGCUACACACGUGCUACAAUGGUCGGUACAAAGGGUUGCCAAGCCGCGAGGUGGAGCUAAUCCCAUAAAACCGAUCGUAGUCCGGAUCGCAGUCUGCAACUCGACUGCGUGAAGUCGGAAUCGCUAGUAAUCGUGAAUCAGAAUGUCACGGUGAAUACGUUCCCGGGCCUU
rnacentral:rRNA from 1 species